CCUACGGGAGGCAGCAGUGAGGAAUAUUGGUCAAUGGGCGAGAGCCUGAACCAGCCACGUCGCGUGAGGGAGUACUGCCCUAUGGGUUGUAAACCUCUUUUGUCGGGGAGAAAAAGCCGGACGUGUCCGGCUGUGAGCGUACCCGAAGAAAAAGCAUCGGCUAACUCCGUGCCAGCAGCCGCGGUAAUACGGGGGAUGCGAGGGUUAUCCGGAUUUAUGGGGUUUAAAGGGUGCGCAGGCGGAUUUUUAAGUCAGCGGUCAAAUCGUGGGGCUCAACCCCAUCCAGCCGUUGAAACUGGGGAUCUAGAGUGUGCGAGAGGUAUGCGGAAUGCGUGGUGUAGCGGUGAAAUGCAUAGAUAUCACGCAGAACCCCGAUUGCGAAGGCAGCACACCGGUGCACAACUGACGCUCAGGCACGAAAGCGUGGGUAUCGAACAGGAUUAGAUACCCCAGUAGUC
rnacentral:rRNA from 1 species